rnacentral:rRNA from 1 species
UACAGAGGUCUCAAGCGUUGUUCGGAUUCAUUGGGCGUAAAGGGUGCGUAGGCGGCGCGGUAAGUCGGGUGUGAAAUCUCGGGGCUUAACUCCGAAACUGCAUUCGAUACUGCCGUGCUUGAGGAUUGGAGAGGAGACUGGAAUUUACGGUGUAGCGGUGAAAUGCGUAGAUAUCGUAAGGAAGACCAGUGGCGAAGGCGGGUCUCUGGACAGUUCCUGACGCUGAGGCACGAAGGCCAGGGGGAGCAAAACGGGG